rnacentral:snRNA from 1 species
GUGCUCACUUUGGCAGCACACAUACUAAAAUUGGAAUGAUACAGAGAAGAUUAGCAUGGCCCCUGUGCAAGGAUGACAUGCAAAUUGGUGAAGCGUUCCAUAUUUUA